rnacentral:tRNA from 1 species
GCCCUUCUAGCCCAACGGUAGAGGUAGUCCCUUCAAAAGGGAAAGGUUCUCGGUUCGAAUCCGAGGAGGGGCACC